UUGAUACAGAAUUCAGAUGCACUGUAGGUACUCCAUCAGACAUCAGUUUUCUAGAAAAAUCGGGAGUUAGACAAGGCUGCAUUAUGUCUUCCCUUCGAUCUAUUCAUGACAAUUGUCGAUUGGAUAAUGAAAUCCACCAUAACCAGUAACAACACAGGCAUCACGUGGACUCUCUUUAACUACCUAGAUGUUUUGACCUAGCUUACUGUCACACAUAGAAACACACAUGCAAGAC
rnacentral:lncRNA from 1 species